rnacentral:rRNA from 1 species
GAUGAACGCUGGCGGCGUGCCUAACACAUGCAAGUCGAGCGAACAGACCAUGCGCUUGUUCCUUUCUCGUUUGCGGAGGACGGGUGUGUAACACGUAUAUCCCCCACUUAUCUUUCUGGGAUAAUCUCGGAAAACCGGCUCUUAUACCGGAUAAUAUUCCGAUCCGCAUGGUUCGUUAGAGAAUGUUGGCUUUGCUGUCUCUAAUCGCUGGUCCUGCGCUGUAUUAGCUAGUUGGUACGGUAACGGCCUAUCAAGGCUACGAUACGUAGCCGAACGGAGAGGGUGAUCGGCCACACGGGAACGGAGACACGGUCCAGACGCCUACGGGAGGCAGCAGUAGGGAAUCUUCCGCAAUAGGCGAAAGCCUGACGCAGCAACGCCGCGUGAGUGAUGAAGGUCUUCGGAGCGUAAAACUCUGUUAUUGGGGAAGAACAAACGUGUAAGUAACCGUAGACGUCGUGACGGUACCGAAUCAGAAAGCAACGGCUAACUACGUG